rnacentral:rRNA from 1 species
CCUACGGGCGGCAGCAGUGGGGAAUAUUGGACAAUGGGGGGAACCCUGAUCCAGCCAUGCCGCGUGUGUGAAGAAGGCCCUCGGGUUGUAAAGCACUUCCAGUGAGGAAGAACGCCUGGUGGUUAAUACCCAUCAGGAAAGACAUCACUCACAGAAGAAGCACCGGCUAACUCCGUGCCAGCAGCCGCGGUAAUACGGAGGGUGCGAGCGUUAAUCGGAAUUACUGGGCGUAAAGCGCGCGUAGGUGGCUUGAUAAGCCGGUUGUGAAAGCCCCGGGCUCAACCUGGGAACGGCAUCCGGAACUGUCAAGCUAGAGUGCAGGAGAGGAAGGUAGAAUUCCCGGUGUAGCGGUGAAAUGCGUAGAGAUCGGGAGGAAUACCAGUGGCGAAGGCGGCCUUCUGGACUGACACUGACACUGAGGUGCGAAAGCGUGGGUAGCAAACAGGAUUAGAUACCCUAGUAGUC